CCUGUUUGGUAAUCUUGAUUUGAUUUCAAAUCAUGUAUUUGUCCAAAUCCACUUUUUGGCAAACUUUAUAAUAUUUGGAUUUGGAUUUGUCCAAUUCCAUCAAAUUAAAACAAAAGCCAAAAUUAAAUAAUUUGAAAUGCCACUCAGACAUGUCAUUUGAAAUUAGAAAAACAGAACACCCAGCAGCAGCUCCUUCACUCUACGCUCUCGCUCCGGUCCUCUUUUCUCCCGUCAUCGGUCCUCUUCGAUCUCUCCCGUCAUCCUCCGGUCUCGUACCUUCAUAUCAAGAGUAAAAUACACUUUCGGAUUCAAUCCCACCAGAGCUAGGAAACCUCAAAAAUCUGCAGUAUGCAGAUUUUGGAAACAAUUCAUUUAGUGGAAGCAUUCCAGAUAGUUUAACCAACUGCACCUCGUUGUUAGAAAUUGCCUUCAUUUUCAACAAUCUCGCCGGUGAAAUCCCAUUUAAUAUCGGUGGUUCCAGUGAUCUUCAAGCUGAGUUUUGGUCCAGAGAGCGAAAGGGUGGCGUUGAUAGAGCAUCUAGCGGAAGGAUCGGUGCUGGAGGAGGCUUUCAAGACAUGUAGCAAAGGGAAGAGCUACUUCGGGGAGAUAACAUUGGUUACACUGAUAUUGCUCUUGGAAGCUUCAUUGGAUGGAUCAAGGCAAUCGAGAAAAUGAGUGGCAUCAAGGUUCUGGCUGAGAAAUUUGUCGAAUGAUGCUGCUAAGAAAUUUGUUCAGGAGCCUGAAGUGUAUGUUGAGCUUCUUAAGAAGAUGCAGGCUUGAGCCUGAGCUGCAUAAAGGAACUGAGGGUGUGUCUGUUUGAUCCAAGAAGUGACUUGUGUUUUCCGGCAAGUUUAUGUAGUAUUAAAAUCAUAAGAUAAAUAAAGAUCGCUUGUAAUAUUUGAAUUAUAAGUGUGAAGUACAUGUUAUAAUAAAGUAUUUACUCAUUUUAUCUUA